rnacentral:rRNA from 1 species
UACGGAAGGCAGCAGUGGGGAAUAUUGCACAAUGGGCGCAAGCCUGAUGCAGCCAUGCCGCGUGUAUGAAAAGGCCUUCGGGUUGUAAAGUACUUUCAGUCGUGAGGAAGGUGUUAAGGUUAAUAACCUUAGCAAUUGACGUUAGCGACAGAAGAAGCACCGGCUAACUCCGUGCCAGCAGCCGCGGUAAUACGGAGGGUGCGAGCGUUAAUCGGAAUUACUGGGCGUAAAGGGCACGCAGGCGGUUAAUUAAGUUGGAUGUGAAAUCCCCGGGCUUAACCUGGGAAUGGCAUUCAAGACUGGUUAGCUAGAGUCUUGUAGAGGGGGUAGAAUUCCAUGUGUAGCGGUGAAAUGCGUAGAGAUGUGGAGGAAUACCGGUGGCGAAGGCGGCCCCUGGACAAAGACUGACGCUCAUGUGCGAAAGCGUGGGGAGCAAA